rnacentral:rRNA from 1 species
CGUGUUGCCUGCAAGGGCGUAUGGUGGAUGCCUUGGCAGACAGGACCGAUGAAGGACGUUUGAGGCUGCGAUAUGCCUCGGGGAGCCGCCAACAGGGCUUUGAUCCGAGGAUUUCCGAAUGGGGGAACCCACCGGCCGUCAUGGGCCGGUACCGCCGUGUGCGGGGGGUACGCAGGGAAGUGAAACAUCUCAGUACCUGCAGGAAAGGAUAUUCCGUGAGUAGUGGCGAGCGAAAGCGGAUCAGGCCAAACCUUGCGCGUGUGAUACCCGUCGGGGGUUGCGCGCGGGGUGUAGAGGGAUCGCGUUUGCCGGCUCCGACGGGCCGGCCGUCAGUUGCAUAAAACCAUGUGCCAGGGGAACCGGGUUGAAUACCGGGCCGCAGAGGGUGAGGGCCCCGUACCCGAACGCGCAUGGUCUGGCGAUCGCGUCUCCCAAGUAGCACGGGCCCCGUGGAAUCCCGUGCGAAUCUGUCCCGACCGUGGGAUAAGCCUAAAUAUUCCUGUCUGACCGAUAGCGAACGAGUACCGUGAGGGAAAGGUGAAAAGUACCCCGGGAGGGGAGUGAAACAGUCUCUGAAACCAUGCGCCUACGAACCGUCGGGGCCCUCUUGUGGGGUGACGGCGUGCCUAUCGAAAAAUGAGUCUGCGAGUCAGUGGCAUGUGGCGAGCAUAACCCGUGUGGGGUAUGCGUAGCGAAGGCGAGUCUUAAAAGGCGUUUGAGUCGCGUGUCCUGGACCCGAAGCGGGAUGAUCUAGCCCUGAGCAGGUUGAAGCGCGGGUAAGACCGUGUGGAGGACCGAACCCACCUGGGUUGAAAACCGGGGGGAUGACUUGGGGCUAGGGGUGAAAGGCCAAUCAAAUUCCGUGAUAGCUGGUUCUCUCCGAAAUGCAUUUAGGUGCAGCGUCGGAUCGAUUACAUCCGGGGGGUAGAGCGACUGGAUGCUUGCGGGCCCAUAUCGGGUACCAACAGCAACCAAACUCCGAAUACCCGUGAUGCGUAUCCCGGCAGUGAGUCGGCGGGGGAUAAGCUCCGUCGUCGAAAGGGAAACAGCCCAGAUCGUCGUCUAAGGUCCCCAAGCGUGUGCUAAGUGGGAAAGGAUGUGGAGUCGCAUAGACAGCCAGGAGGUUGGCUCAGAAGCAGCCACCCUUGAAAGAGUGCGUAACAGCUCACUGGUCUAGUGGUUCCGCGCCGACAAUGUAGCGGGGCUCAAGCACACCACCGAAGACGCGGCAGUAGCUUUGCUACUGGGUAGGAGAGCGUCCCAUGCGGGGCGAAGCGGCGGCGCAAGCCCGCCGUGGACCGCAUGGGAGUGAGAAUGCAGACAUGAGUAGCGAAAGACGGGUGAAGAUCCCGUCCGCUGGACGACCAAGGGUUCCAGGGCCACGUUCAUCGUCCCUGGGUGAGUCGGGUCCUAAGGCGAGGCCGACAGGCGUAGUCGAAUGGACGAACGGGUCGAUAUUCCCGUACCGGCAUGCAACCGGCAAAACCGAAUCCGCGAGUACUAACUUCCGGGUCCGGGCUUACGUCUCCUUCGGGAGCCGGAUGCCCUGGCCUGUUGGGACCGUAACGGUAGUAGGUCAGCGCGGGAGUGACGCAGAAGGGUAGCCGGCCGCGGAGGUGGUCUUCCGUGGUCAAGCACGCAGCCCGUCCCACAGGCAAAUCCGUGGGGCGCGUGGGCGAGGUGCGNNNNNNNNNNNNNNNNNNNNNNNNNNNNNNNNNNNNNNNNNNNNNNNNNNNNNNNNNNNNNNNNNNNNNNNNNNNNNNNNNNNNNNNNNNNNNNNNNNNNGGGGCGAAGCGGCGGCGCAAGCCCGCCGUGGACCGCAUGGGAGUGAGAAUGCAGACAUGAGUAGCGAAAGACGGGUGAAGAUCCCGUCCGCUGGACGACCAAGGGUUCCAGGGCCACGUUCAUCGUCCCUGGGUGAGUCGGGUCCUAAGGCGAGGCCGACAGGCGUAGUCGAAUGGACGAACGGGUCGAUAUUCCCGUACCGGCAUGCAACCGGCAAAACCGAAUCCGCGAGUACUAACUUCCGGGUCCGGGCUCACGUCUCCUUCGGGAGCCGGAUGCCCUGGCCUGUUGGGACCGUAACGGUAGUAGGUCAGCGCGGGAGUGACGCAGAAGGGUAGCCGGCCGCGGAGGUGGUCUUCCGUGGUCAAGCACGCAGCCCGUCCCACAGGCAAAUCCGUGGGGCGCGUGGGCGAGGUGCGAUGAUGGGCGCCGCAGGGCGCGAUAUCCGGUGAUCCCGGCUGCCGAGAAAAGCUUCGGCGUGAGGCGGCAUGCCGCCCGUACCCCAAACCGACACUGGUGGUCAGGUAGAGAAUACCAAAGCGAUCGAGCGAAUCCUGGUCAAGGAACUCGGCAAAUCACUCCCGUUCCUUCGGUUUAAGGGAGACCCCCGAUGGUGAAGCGGCUUGCCCGCGGAGCUUUUGGGGGUGGCACAGACCAGGGGGUAGCGACUGUUUACCAAAAACACAGGAGCGUGCGAAGGCGCAAGCCGCUGUAUACGCUCUGACGCCUGCCCGGUGCCGGAAGGUUAAGAGGAUCCGUCAGGCCUCGGCCGAAGCGGUGAAUUCAAGCCCCGGUAAACGGCGGUGGUAACUAUAACCAUCCUAAGGUAGCGAAAUUCCUUGUCGGGUAAGUUCCGACCUGCACGAAUGGCGUAACGACUUCCCCACUGUCUCGACCAGGAGCUCGGCGAAAUUGCAGUACGAGUAAAGAUGCUCGUUAAGCGCAGAAGGACGAAAAGACCCCGGGACCUUUACUAUACCUUGGUAUUGGCAUUCGGUGUGGAUUGUGUAGCAUAGGCGGAAGGCUUCGAAGCCACGGCGCCAGCCGCGGUGGAGCCGCAAGGUGAAAUACCGCUCUGUUCGCAUUGGAUGUCUAACCUCGACCAGUCAUCCUGGUCAGGGACAGUGCCUGGCGGGUAGUUUAACUGGGGCGGUUGCCUCCCAAAGAGUAACGGAGGCGCUCAAAGGUUCCCUCAGCCCGGUUGGCAAUCGGGUGGCGAGUGUAAGUGCACAAGGGAGCUUGACUGCGAGACUGACGGGUCGAGCAGGGACGAAAGUCGGAACUAGUGAUCCGGUGCCGGUGUACGGACGCGGCAUCGCUCAACGGAUAAAAGGUACCCCGGGGAUAACAGGCUGAUCAUUCCCAAGAGUCCAUAUCGACGGGAUGGUUUGGCACCUCGAUGUCGGCUCGUCGCAUCCUGGGGCUGGAGCAGGUCCCAAGGGUUCGGCUGUUCGCCGAUUAAAGCGGCACGCGAGCUGGGUUCAGAACGUCGUGAGACAGUUUGGUCUCUAUCCUCUGCGCUCGUCGGAAUGUUGAGGAGGCCUGCCCAUAGUACGAGAGGACCUGGGUGGACGAACCUCUGGUAUGCCGGUUGUCACGCCAGUGGCACGGCCGGUUGGCUACGUUCGGAAGGGAUAACCGCUGAAAGCAUCUAAGCGGGAAGCCUGCUCCAAGAUAAGCAUUCCAUAGGACUACGGGUCCUUGAAGUCCCCAUGCAGAACACGUGGUUGAUAGGCCGGACGUGGAAGCCCCGCGAGGGGUGGAGCCGACCGGUACUAACGGACGAAAGGCAACACAAU